rnacentral:rRNA from 1 species
AUUGAACGCUGGCGGCAUGCUUUACACAUGCAAGUCGAACGGCAGCACGGGCUUCGGCCUGGUGGCGAGUGGUGAACGGGUGAGUAAUGCAUCGGAACGUACCGUGUAGUGGGGGAUAACGUAGCGAAAGUUACGCUAAUACCGCAUACGCCCCGAGGGGGAAAGUGGGGGACCGCAAGGCCUCACGCUAGAUGAGCGGCCGAUGUCGGUGUAGCUAGUUGGUAGGGUAAUGGCCUACCAAGGCGACGAUCCGGAGCGGGUCUGAGAGGAUGAUCCGCCACACUGGGACUGAGACACGGCCCAGACUCCUACGGGAGGCAGCAGUGGGGAAUUUUGGACAAUGGGCGCAAGCCUGAUCCAGCCAUGCCGCGUGAGUGAAGAAGGCCUUCGGGUUGUAAAGCUCUUUCAGACGGAAAGAAAUCUCCCAGGAUAAUACCUUGGGAGGAUGACGGUACCGUAAGAAGAAGCACCGGCUAACUACGUGCCAGCCGCCGCGGUAA